rnacentral:rRNA from 1 species
CGUGUCUGAAGAAGGCCUCGGUUGUAAGGACUUUGUCAGGGAGCAAAACUUACUGGUUAAUACCUGGUGAGGUUGAGAGUACCUGAAGAAUAAGCACCGGCUAACUACGUGCCAGCAGCCGCGGUAAUACGUAGGGUGCAAGCGUUAAUCGGAAUUACUGGGCGUAAAGCGUGCGCAGGCGGACUUUUAAGCCAGAUGUGAAAGCCCCGAGCUUAACUUGGGGAAUUGCGUUUUGGAACUGGGAGUCUAGAGUCUGUCAGAGGGGGAUGGAAUUCCACGUGUAGCAGUGAAAUGCGUAGAGAUGUGGAGGAACACCGAUGGCGAAGGCAGUCCCCUGGGAUAAGACUGACGCUCAUGCACGAAAGCGUGGGGAGCAAACAGGAUUAGAUACCCCUGGUAGUCCACGCCCUAAACGAUGUCUACUAGUUGUUGGGGUAGCAAUACCUCAGUGACGCAGCUAACGCGUGAAGUAGACCGCCUGGGGAGUACGGUCGGCAAGAUUAAAACUACAAAGGAAUUGAC